UUUGAUCAUCUGAUCCAAUCAUGUUUUUUUUAUGUUAUAACUAACUUUAAACUAAAUAACCAAUUGAAAGAUUAAAAUUAAAUUGGGGAGGAGAUAAUCUAAACUAUUAAAACAGGAGCACAUUUUGUAUUUAACCCAGAUUUUUCCACAAUAAUUACCAAGCUAUGCCACUCAUCAAAACACUAUAGUCUUACAUUUUGCUAUCACAUUAAUUUCCUAAACAGAUAAAAUCGCUACUCACGUUUCUUAAAUCAUUCCACAUGC
rnacentral:lncRNA from 1 species